GGGGGGGUUCCCGGCGUUCUCUUGUGUUUGGUCUGCAUUUCGACACGGCACCGCUGCACUACUGGACUACAGCAAGCUGAUGGCAUCCGGUGGAGCUUCGUACGGCAAUGACUGCUGCUUACCUGGCGCCACAACUUUGUAUGAAUGCACAAGAAGCCCGGAACGAGCAUUUAUAUAGAGCAAAAUCAACAUUUCAUAAUUUCAGAA
rnacentral:lncRNA from 1 species